rnacentral:lncRNA from 1 species
CUGAGUAACAAUAUCUGUCUCCCUUUUGCCAACUUUCUGCCCAGAUCUUUAAGAUAGAGCGAGAGGGAGAGAGCCAACGCUACAAGCCCUUCAGGCAGCUUCACAACCGGAGACUGCUGUGGCACGGGUCCAGGACCACCAACUUCGCAGGCAUCCUGUCACAGGGUCUGCGGAUAGCCCCACCUGAAGCACCUGUGACAGGCUACAUGUUUGGGAAAGGAAUCUACUUUGCUGAUAUGGUGUCCAAAAGUGCGAACUACUGCCACACGUCUCAGGGAGACCCGAUUGGCUUAAUACUGUUGGGAGAAGUUGCCCUUGGAAACAUGUGAGUGUCCGGACUCUGAGCAGGGUGGGUAGAGUAGACUAGAAGGAGAAUCUUUUUGACUUGUAAGUGCAGUAGACAGCAGCUCGGG